CGAGGCUACCAUUGGAUUUACAUCCUCCAAACUAGUUUCGGUUGGCAUUCCGGGUAAUGAGUGUCUAUCAGGACACCGCGGUCGUUUUCACGGACUCGAGGGGAGUACCGGGUCGUGACACAAGGCAUAUGACAGGAAAUGAAAUGUUGUUUACUCAACUGGAUAAGAAAAAGGGUGGUACAAUAUCAUUUGGAGAUGAUUCAAAAGGCAGAAUUCAUGGUAUAGGAACCAUUGGUCAGUAGUGGCUUGGCUCACUGUCCUUGGGAAAAGCCAAUACUUCUGUCAGUCUUGGUAGCUGAACAUAUGGCAUCCACUAAGCGUUAGCCCUUUUGUUUUAAGUUGUACUCCAUUGGUCCUAUUUGGUUUGGUCAUUUAUGUUUGACUAUCAUGGAUAAUAUCUUGCUAUGUCUUGUAUUAACGGACAUAUAUUUCGAAAAAAUUACCAUGGGAUGGCUACACUUUGUAUUUGCCAUAGGAUGACCUAUGUAUGUUACUUGAUAUGUGCUGCUUUCGCA